GAUGAACGCUGGCGGCGUGCCUAAUACAUGCAAGUCGAGCGAACAGACGAGGAGCUUGCUCCUCUGACGUUAGCGGCGGACGGGUGAGUAACACGUGGAUAACCUACCUAUAAGACUGGGAUAACUUCGGGAAACCGGAGCUAAUACCGGAUAAUAUAUUGAACCGCAUGGUUCAAUAGUGAAAGACGGUUUUGCUGUCACUUAUAGAUGGAUCCGCGCCGCAUUAGCUAGUUGGUAAGGUAACGGCUUACCAAGGCAACGAUGCGUAGCCGACCUGAGAGGGUGAUCGGCCACACUGGAACUGAGACACGGUCCAGACUCCUAAGGGAGGCAGCAGUAGGGAAUCUUCCGCAAUGGGCGAAAGCCUGACGGAGCAACGCCGCGUGAGUGAUGAAGGUCUUCGGAUCGUAAAACUCUGUUAUUAGGGAAGAACAAAUGUGUAAGUAACUAUGCACGCCUUGACGGUACCUAAUCAGAAAGCCACGGCUAACUACGUG
rnacentral:rRNA from 1 species